rnacentral:rRNA from 1 species
GAUGAACGCUAGCGACAGGCCUAACACAUGCAAGUCGAGGGGCAGCACAUGAGUAGCAAUACGAUGGUGGCGACCGGCGCACGGGUGAGUAACACGUAUGCAACCUGCCUUCUACUAUGGGAUAACCCGUUGAAAGACGGACUAAUACCGUAUAAUACAGGGGCUCCGCAUGGAGAUAUUUGUUAAAGAUUUAUUGGUAGAAGAUGGGCAUGCGUAUGAUUAGAUAGUUGGUGAGGUAACGGCUCACCAAGUCAACGAUCAUUAGGGGUUCUGAAAGGAAGGUCCCCCGCACUGGUUCUGAGACACGGACCAGACUCCUACGGGAGGCAGCAGUGAGGAAUAUUGGUCAAUGGACGAGAGUCUGAACCAGCCAAGUCGCGUGAAGGAAGACGGUUCUAUGAAUUGUAAACUUCUUUUGUGCAGGAAUAAAGUGGGUUACGUGUAACCUUUUGUAUGUACUGUACGAAUAAGGAUCGGCUAACUCCGUGCCAGCCGCCGCGGUAAAAC